rnacentral:tRNA from 1 species
GCCUGGGUGGCUCAGUCGGUUGAGCGUCUGACUUUGGCUCAGGUCAUGAUCUCACGGCUCCUGGGUUCGAGACCCGUGUCGGGCU